GCUCCGGUGGUCUAGUGGCUAGAGCGUCCGCUUGGGAUGCGAGAGGUCGCGGGUUUGAACCCCGGUCGAAUUA